rnacentral:tRNA from 1 species
AACUCUAUAAUUUAAAAAAAAUAUUAAAUUGCAAGUUUAAAAUUACAUGUAUUUGUUAGAGUUU